GACUACAACUGCAGCCCCCACAACACCUGAAGCCCUGACUACAACUGCAGUACUCACAACAACUGCAGCCCCCACAACAACAGAAGCCCCCACUACAACUGCAGCCCCGACUACAACUGUAGCCCCCACAACAACUGAAGCCCUGACUACAACUGCAGUACCCACAACAACUGAAGCCCCCACAACAACUGAUGCCCCGACUACAACUGCAGCCCCGACUACAACUGAAGCCUUGACUACAACUGCAGCCCCCACAACAACUGAAGCCCCUGGAACAACUGAAGCCCCGAUUACAACUGCAGCUCAAACAACAACUGAAGCCUUGACUACAACUGCAGCCCCCACAACAACUGAAGCUCCGACUACAACUGUAGGCCCCACUACAACUGAAGCCUCGACUACAACUGAAGCCCCGACUACAACUGAAGCCUUGACUACAACUGCAGCUCAAACAACAAGUCCAGCCCCCACAACAACAGAAGCCCCCACUACAACUGCAGCCCCCACAACAACAGAAGCUCCGACUACAACUACAGCCCCAACAACAACUGCAGCCCCGACUACAACUGAAGCCCAAACAACAAAUUCAAACCCCACAACAACAGAAGCCCCGACUACAACUGAAGCCCUGACUACAACUGCAGCUCAAACACCAACUGCAGCCCCCACAACAACUGAAGCCCUGACUACAACUGCAGCCCCAACAAUACCUGCAGCCCCCACUACAACAGCAAACCCUACGACAGCUGCAGCCCUUCCAGUAAAUGCAGCUCCCACUAUAACUGCAGCCCCUACGACAACGGUAGCUCCCUCUACAACUGCAGCACCGACAACAGCAGCCCAGACUACAACUGCAGCCCUGACUACAACUGCAGCCCUGACUAUAACUGCAGCCGCCUUGACAACUGCAGCCCCCAUUACAACUGCAGCCCCCACCACAACAGCAGUCCAGACUACAACUGCAGCCCCCAUUACAACUGCAGCCCCCUCUACAACUGCAGCCCCCAUUACAACUGCAGCCCCCACUACAACUGCAGCCCUGACUACAACUGCAGCCCCCACUACAACUGCAGCUCCCACAACAACUGAAGCCCUGACUACAACUGUAGCCCCCACAACAACUGCAGCCCCCACAACAACUCCAGCCCCGACUACAACUCCAGCCCCCACUACUACGACUACAACUCCAGCCUCAACUACAACAACUAUCGUCCUCACAACAACAACUGCAGCCCCUGCAAAUCCACCAUCAGCAAAUGAGGGUGUCCAGAACCUGUUUUUCAGAAUUAUUAGAGCUUUUGUAGAUGCAUUGUUAAACCAAAACUCUCCUGAAUUCCAGGAUCUAGCACGUCUUAUCGUUAGACAGUUGAACCGUGCCUAUCGCAGAAGAUACCCCAGAACCUACAGCAGGUGUAGGGUUCGACGGUUCAGGCGUGGGCGUCCUUUGUCUACUGUUGUCAACCGGAUGGACACCAUACUAGUAGACACAGAACUGAUAUUUGUCAACCAGUCUGUGGUUCCAAAUGUGACCGAGACAGAAACAGCCCUUCAGGAGGCCGUUAAUGAUUCAACUGUUGACUUGGGCGUCAUUCCAUCCAGCAUUACUGCAGAAGACACAAACACCACCAUAACUACAACUACAACAAGCGGUGCCAUGGCAGCAAACAAACCCCAGGAAGUCAUCAGUUUUCUGUUCCCUCUUAUUCUUGUCAUUUACUAUCUGUUAACAGGCUCCCUUGGUUUUAGCCAGAUAAAUAUAUAAGCCUUUAUGAUUUUGACACUUGAUGCUACUCUAUGACUGAUAACUUGUUUUAACAGAUUUCUUUUAAAAAAGUGCAUAUCCUUCACUGAGUGCCUCAUUGAGCCAUUGAUCAGGGUUCUUUGUACAUAUAUGAUAUAUAUCAUAUUUCUAUAAAGUUAAAGAAUAGUUAAAAACUGAAUCAAAUCAAUAUUUUUUGUGACCACCCUUUGGCGUUAAAACUGCAUCACUUCUCUGAGAUAGCCAACGUUGUCCUGCACUUCUAUAAGACAAUCAGCAGGGAGGUUGUUCCAAGCAUGUUGGAGACCUUGCUUCUGAUCUCAGACAGCCUUGAUCAAGUUUUUAUGUAAAAUGUAGUCAACUGCUUACAGUGAUGUUACUUUUUUUAUAAAUACAAAAAUGUCUCUGUAAACAUUUUUUUUUUGGAAAUCUCAAAAAAAUAAACAUAUACAUAAUAAAGUCUAAAGGGUGCCUAAGACUUCUGCACAUUACUGUAUAUAUAUAUAUGUGUGUGUGUGUGUGUGUGUGUGUGUAUGGAAAUAUAUAUAUAUUUCACACUUGAAGUCCUUAUGGUUUGAAUGAAGCUGAAGUCCUAAUGGUUUGAUUGAAGAACUGCUCCUUCACUGCUCCUUCACCCCAUUUACUUUCCUUAUUAUACAGUAAGUCUAGACUUUCUUAUUUCAUAGAUGUUUACAUACCUUUGGAAUAAUUGUAAAAGUGCUGUAAUAUGUGAUUGCUCUAUAUUAUAUAUUUCUAAAUAAAUUAUAUUAUGAUGAA